UUAAGAACGUGAGAGAAAUUGUCCAUAUUACAAAUGCAACCUGGAGUUGAAUCUAAUCAAUUACAUAAUUAUUUAAGUACAAAUAAUAUUCAAGUUUUUGCUAUACAUGAAGAACUAAUUGAGAGAGUUUCUCAGGAGAUAUCAACAACAUGGAAAUUAAUUCCAAUUUUUUUACACUUUUUGUCUGCUGUAUCUGGCUAUGCAACUUCAAUAUUGUUCUAUAUAUUUUGGAAUGAUAUUUUUGGAGGGCAAUGUCCAAUAUGGGCUAAACUUCAAAUUCCAGAGCGACAUCAAAUCCCGAAAACAGAUAAAAUAGCUGAAUUCGAUAACGAUAGGGACAUAAUACACGACAAUGAUUGGCGUAAAAAUGUUAUAAUAACAUUUUUAUAUGAAUGGCACUGCAAUUAUUAUCACUUUAUUUGUCUUUGUUCAUGUUCAUUUGGUGUUAUCUGGUGCAUGCUAUUUGCUAGAUGUGCUACUGGAAUAUACGCUGCACAAUGGUUGAUCGUUCCACCAGCUUUAAUUUUUGAAACAGUUUUUACCGCAAUCGUAUAUAGUGCUGCAUAUGAUUUCGAGCAUGGAUAUUUGAGCUUCACCAAUAAUUUGAAACAUGUUGCUUACUCGUCUAUGAACGCCACUCAACUAAGUGAAUUUUCUCAUGAUUGUGAUCUUGUGGUUUUUUAUCUAAAAAUAAUCCAUUUUUCCUGGCACAAUUUAUGUCAAGUACACUACAUAUUGAAGAUUUUAUCGUGGACGAUGGCCUGGAGCUGGAUAGGUGGUUUGGCAUAUUUACUUGUGCGAAUAAUCGUAGUUAAUGAUUUCCGUCUUCUCCGGACAAUUGUGUAUAAAAUCUCAAAUAAGAAAAUUACUGAAACAGAAGCAGAUAGAAACUAUAUUAUUGAUACUAAAUUGAAGGCUCAAAUGUUACCACCUAAACCACGAAUUAAACAACCAACAUUAUACUUAAUGGCCCAAACAUAAAAGUUGAAAAACAUUCAUGAUGCAUAAUGUGUGUUUAGUUAUUUUUUUAAAUUAAUUAUUGUGUAAUAAUUUGCUUUGAGAUGUCCAGGUUUAUUAAUUGAGCUUCAGCCAUCUGGAUUUUAUUCAUAACAACAUCUGAAGCUUGUUGAACAUGAAUUAAAACCUGUGUACACAGAAAAACAGUUUUUUUUUAAAUUUUUGUUUUCAUUUAAUUACCCAUAAUAAAUAA
rnacentral:misc_RNA from 1 species